AACGGGCAAGUGGGCAUGGCCGAGUUUCUGGAGGCUUCCUGCGUCGCGUGGAGGCAGACAGAGCUCAGGGAGGGAGGGAGGGGAAGAACGAAGCAGCAGCAACAGCGCCAUCCGCUCGCUUCCUUCCCCUUCUCUCCCUCCUCCCCCACCGCCGGCGUCGCCUCUACGCGCGCGCGCCCCGCCGGGGGCUGCCGUCGCUGCACCCGUGGCCCGUGGGCGGCGGCCGCGUACCUGUACCUACGUGCUGCCGGGGGGGGGGGGGGGGGGGGGGGGGGGAGCUACGCGUCUCCUCUCGCCAUGGACGCCGGUGUAGAGAAGUGCGGCGACGCGGCGGCGGAGGGCGGCGGCGACCUCUACGCUGUCCUCGGGCUCAAGAAGGAGUGCUCCGACGCCGACCUCAAGGUCGCUUACCGGAAGCUCGCCAAGAAAUGGCACCCGGACAAAUGCUCCUCCUCCUCCAUCAGCGUGAAGCACAUGGAGGAAGCCAAGGAGAAGUUCCAAGAGAUCCAGGGCGCCUAUUCGGUACUCUCCGACGCCAAUAAACGGCUCCUCUACGAUGUGGGAGUAUAUGAUGACGAGGACGACGAGGAUAGCAUGCAGGGGAUGGGGGACUUCAUUGGUGAGAUGACCCAGAUGAUGAGCCAGGUGCGGCCGAUGAGGCAGGAAAGCUUUGAGGAGCUGCAGCAGCUUUUUGUCGACAUGUUCCAGUCUGAUAUUGAUUCAGGAUUCUGCAAUGGGACUGCUAAGGGCCAUCAGGUUCAGGGGCAAGCCAAAAGUAGAACAUGCUCACCACGGUCCCCUCCUACUACUAUAGUAAAGGAGGCAGAGGUGUCAUCAUGUAAUGGCUUCAAUAAGCGGGGUUCAUCAGCAAUGGACUCAGGAAAGCCUCCAAGGCCUGUUGAAUGUGGUGCAGGUCAGAGCCAGGCUGGAUUUUGUUUUGGGCUUGCUUCUGACGAACGGUCAUGCAAUUGACCAAACAUGUACCAUAAGCAAAUGUGAUGUAGGAGAUUGUUAUGUAAAGAGACUUUUGUGGCCACUUUGAUGUUUUGUUUUAUGCGUACCUUUUUUGAAAAAAAAAAUGAUUGUGGUGCUAUGUGAGUGCCUUUUUCUCAUCAUAAUUUUAGGCGUCUGUAGAUUCACUUGAGAAGUAUGAAGUCCCUAGGUGGUUAUUAAAAGAAGUUAGCAGCUAUGUAAAAGUUAGCUACAGUGGCGAGUCUUUAAGUGCUGAUAUUCCUUGAUAGUAUGCUCAUGUGUUCACGUCAUUUUUCUGUUACUCUCUAUUACUGCUUCCUGUGUUGUGAAAUAUAUUAUUUUGCCCUGGUGUAUUUGGUAUUUAUAAGGUUUAUGAAGAAACAGAAAUUCAGCAUGGCUGGUACAAAUUUUAAAUAUAUAUUUUUUAUCGAUAAACUUUUGGUUUAUCCUUUAUUCAUUUGCCAAGGGAUGUUAGUCCUGGGUCACUUGCUGGGCCCCAUUCUAUCUUAGUACCUAGGCCCUUUGGGGCGUUUAAUAGUCAUCAUGAUCACAUGAUAUAGUCCAAUAAAUUGUUAAGGACUCUACUGAAACUUUUUAUAUUGAUUGGGUCCCAUGGGGGCUACGAAAAGCUCCACCACUAGAUGCAUUCUUGACAUGAAGACUUGACGUUUUCGCAUAAAAGCUUUUUUUUUUAAAAAAAAACAGGUAGACGGUCCAAGUGGUGGAACAGACCGAUGUACCACUUUUUCCCAUAUAUGUAGCUGCGUGAAAGUGGAUUUUUCAUAUCCUUGUGAUGUGAUGUCUCAUAUUCCAUGUCAUUUUGGUUGCAUAUUGUGUCAUUUUGGGUGGUAGCAGUGCUUUAAUUCUUUAUUAUGAGUUCAUUACCAGUUUGGCAUGUGAACAGAUAGAUCGGUCACACGUCAUUUUCUGCUUUACAGGUAUCACUUUCUUGGAUAAUUGGAUUGGAUUGGCACAUUGUGUUGUGCCUUUGCUGACUUGUCCUGCACUAUUUUCCUGUUGGAAUUCUGUUCACGGUCCCCUUAGUAUAUAGUACCUUAAAUUGCCAUUCACCUGGAUGCCUCUGAUGCUCCAUGUUUGUUCUUUUCUUUGAGUACCCGACAAAACUAGUGGUGCUGGUGAGCGACACGCCAAAGCCGCGAGGUCCGAACGCCAACCGGAAGAGGAACGGCCGGAAACAGAAGCUGUUCCCCAAGCACUACGUUACAUCCGAAGAUGAUACGGCCGGUUCCUAGCAUCAGCAGCACGGUAGCAGUUUGACCGUUGGCUUUGGUGAUGUCAGCAGUAGGGAGGGCACAUCAUGUCGCCUCUGCCAGCUGCUGUGAUCUGAAGAGGCGUUUAGCUCAUCAUAUGCCUUUAGUCUUUUGAGAGGUCUUUAGGGUUGAAAGGUACUUCGAAAACCGAACCAGCGUCUACAGGCCUAAGAGGGAUUUCCAUUGAAACUCGUCGAUGAUACUACAGUUUUCUUUCCCCAUCUGUGCCGGUUGUGUUGUACUACCACUACCAGUGACAGUGAGUGACUUCUAAGCUAUUCAUUUUUUUAACUGGAGAAGUUGAUACCAUGAUAAUUAAAAAAAAUUGGGUGUGUAUUGAACUAUUACCAAGAAAAUAGUACUUGGAUUGUGAUGUUCUGAACAU